GCUGAGGUGGUCCAGUGGUAUGAUACCGGGACAGCAACACCGGAGAUCGCCAGUUCGAAUCUGGCCCUCAGCA